GUCUUUCUAACCUGUACAUAGGCGAGUGGGAGGAUGAAUAUGUAUGGAGUAAUCACAAGUGGAGUCAGAACAUCAGCCUGUAAAAGACAUACAUAGACAAUAUUUUUCUAAUUUGGAGAGGAGACAGACACUUUAGAAGAAAUUUUGAGACAUCUGAACUCGAAUAGUUGGGGGGGUCAAACUUAACACCAACUAUAGUAAUUAGUCUGUGGAAUUUCUUGACUUGGUCACUUAUACAGAGAGACAAGAAAAUUUUUCAAGGAGGUGG